rnacentral:rRNA from 1 species
UACGGGGGGGGCAAGCGUUGUUCGGAAUUACUGGGCGUAAAGGGCUCGUAGGUGGCCAACUAAGUCAUACGUGAAAUCCCUCGGCUUAACCGGGGAACUGCGCCUGAUACUGGUUGGCUUGAGUUUGGGAGAGGGACGCGGAAUUCCAGGUGUAGCGGUGAAAUGCGUAGAUAUCGGGAGGAAUACCUAUGGCGAAAGCAGGCUACUGGACCGUCACUGACUCUGAUCUGCGAAAGCUAGGGGAGCAAACAGG